UUUUAAAGAGAGUUUGAUCCUGGCUCAGGACGAACGCUGGCGGCGUGCCUAAUACAUGCAAGUCGAACGAACGG
rnacentral:rRNA from 1 species